rnacentral:rRNA from 1 species
UGUGAGUCAUUGUAGCAAUACAAGGCAGACGGCUCAGUAACACGUAGCCAAUCUAACCUAUGGACGGGGAUAACCUCGGGAAACUGAGGAUAACCCCCGAUAGAUCAUUAUGCCUGGAACGGUUUAUGGUCCAAAUGAUUCGUCGCCGUAGGAUGAGACUGCGGCCUAUCAGCUUGUUGGUGAGGUAAUGGCCCACCAAGGCUAUUACAGGUACGGGCUCUGAGAGGAGAAGCCCGGAGAUGGGUACUGAGACACGGACCCAGGCCCUAUGGGGCGCAGCAGGCGAGAAACCUUUGCAAUGUGCGCAAGCACGACAAGGUUAAUCCGAGUGAUUCCUGCUAAAGGAAUCUUUUGUUAGUCUUAAAAUCACUAUUGAAUAAGGGGUGGGCAAGUUCUGGUGUCAGCCGCCGCGGUAAAACCAGCACCUCAAGUGGUCAGGAGGAUUAUUGGGCCUAAAGCAUCCGUAGCCUGCUCUAUAAGUUUCCGGUUAAAUCCAUUAGCUCAACUAAUGGCCUGCCGGAAAUACUGCAGAGCUAGGAAGUGGGAGAGGUAGACGGUACUCGGUAGGAAGGGGUAAAAUCCUUUGAUCUAUUGAUGACCACCUGUGGCGAAGGCGGUCUACCAGAACACGUUCGACGGUGAGGGAUGAAAGCUGGGGGAGCAAACCGGAUUAGAUACCCGGGUAGUCCCAGCUGUAAACGAUGCAGACUCGGUGAUGCACUGGCUUGUGGCCAGUGCA